CAAAGGAAGGAUGAUGAUGAACAAGAAGGCCAAUUCUGGAUAUGCCAUGGCAUUUGCUACCAAUAUGGCAAUACCAGGAUCAUUCUUGGAGAGCUCCUCAUCUCUCUCUCCCACACGCACUCUCUCUCUCUGUGAGCUUGCAAUCGCACAAGCAUGGAAAGUACAGAGAAAAAAGCUCAUGCAAAAGGCGACGAUGCUUAAUUUCCAAUAUUCUCCCUCCCAAAACAAGCUUCUGAAACUGGUCGUUAGAUCUUUAAGCUUGGAUUAAUGGACAGUUUGGUCACCUGAUCGAUCAAGAGAGAGUGAGUGAGAGAGCAAGUGGCCUCGAUGAAUAAAGGCGAACUGAGCAUUUCAACGGUGAAUCGAAUCGCAGU
rnacentral:lncRNA from 1 species